UACUUAGUGGCAGACGGGUGAGUAACAUGUGGGUAUCUACCCUUUGGCCUGGAAUAACACGAGGAAACUUGUGCUAAUACCGGAUAAGUCUUUACGGAGAAAGCUUUAUGCACCAUUGGAUGAGCCCGCACUUGAUUAGUUUGUUGGUAGGGUAAUGGCCUACCAAGACUAUGAUCAAUAGCUGAUUUGAGAGGAUGAUCAGCCACAUUGGGACUGAGACACGGCCCAAACUCCUACGGGAGGCAGCAGUGGGGAAUCUUGCACAACGGAGGAAACUCUGAUGCAGCGAUGCCGCGUGAGUGAAGAAGGCCUUUGGGUUGUAAAGCUCUUUUGUCGGGGAAGAAAAUGACUGUACCCGAAUAAGAAGGUCCGGCUAACUUCGUGCCAGCAGCCGCGGUAAUACGAAGGGACCUAGCGUAGUUCGGAAUUACUGGGCUUAAAGAGUUCGUAGGUGGUUGAAAAAGUUGGUGGUGAAAUCCCAGAGCUUAACUCUGGAACUGCCAUCAAAACUUUUCAGCUAGAGUAUGAUA
rnacentral:rRNA from 1 species